rnacentral:rRNA from 1 species
CUUAACGCGUUAGCUUCGCCACUAAGAGGUMAACCCUCCCAACGGCUAGUUGUCAUCGUGUUACUGGCGUGGACUACCAGGGUAUCUAAUCCUGUUUGCUAUCCCACGCUUUCGUACCUCAGUGUCAGUAUUAGUCCAGAAAGCUGCCUUCGCCAUUGAUGUUCCUUCUGAUAUCUACGACAUUUCACCGCUACACCAGAAAUUCCACUUCUCCUCUCCUAUACUCUAGGUMGUCRGUGUUCAAAUUGCAGUUCCCAGGGUUGAGCACCGCGGGGUUUCACAUUCUGACUUAAAAGAACC